rnacentral:rRNA from 1 species
UACGUAGGGGGCAAGCGUUGUCCGGAUUUAUUGGGCGUAAAGAGCGUGUAGGCGGCUUGGUAGGUCCGCUGUGAAAACUCGAGGCUCAACCUCGAGAUGUCGGCGGAAACCACUUGGCUAGAGUCCGGAAGAGGAGAGUGGAAUUCCCAGUGUAGAGGUGAAAUUCGUAGAUAUUGGGAAGAACACCAGUGGCGAAGGCGGCUAACUGGUCCGGUACGUGACGCUGAGGUGCGAAAGCGUGGGAAGCAAACAGG